UUGGAAACGCAAAGAGGAAACUGAAGAUAGCUUGUGAUGGCAAGAGUUUAUAUGUGACUGUGUUGUAUGUGUUAUGCAGGUUUUUUUGGUUUUCGGUUCAUAAAGCAUGGUUUGGAUGGCUCAAAAUGAAAGGAUGCGAAGACAUGAUGCAAUGGGGGAGAGUUUGAAGAUGGAAUCACAGAUGCAAGCAUACUAUUGGUAGUAGCUUAGGAUUAGAACCAAUAGACCGAAACAGAUUUUUGUGUUGUUUUUGUAAUGAUAUUUUGGUUCCUAUGUGGACAUUUGGAUUUAUAAUGGGAUUUUGGAUUGAAAUGUAUGAACCAUUGGUCUUUUGUAAUGAACAUGAUUUGGAUAAA